rnacentral:rRNA from 1 species
GAUGAACGCUGGCGGCGUGCCUAAUACAUGCAAGUCGAGCGAACAGACGAGGGGCUUGCUCCUCUGACGUUAGCGGCGGACGGGUGAGUAACACGUGGAUAACCUACCUAUAAGACUGGGAUAACUUCGGGAAACCGGAGCUAAUACCGGAUAAUUUAUUGAACCGCAUGGUUCAAUAGUGAAAGACGGUUUUGCUGUCACUUAUAGAUGGAUCCGCGCCGCAUUAGCUAGUUGGUAAGGUAACGGCUUACCAAGGCGACGAUGCGUAGCCGACCUGAGAGGGUGAUCGGACACACUGGAACUGAGACACGGUCCAGACUCCUACGGGAGGCAGCAGUAGGGAAUCUUACGCAAUGGGCGAAAGCCUGACGGAGCAACGCCGCGUGAGUGAUGAAGGUCUUCGGAUCGUAAAACUCUGUUAUUAGGGAAGAACAAAUGUGUAAGUAACUAUGCACGUCUUGACGGUACCUAAUCAGAAAGCCACGGCUAACUACGUG